rnacentral:lncRNA from 1 species
UAAAGUACCGUUAUUUAAGAUGUAAACAUGAGUGUCGCAUUAUAAAGUUUUCAGAUUAAUAAAUACAAUAUAAUUUGUUUUGAAUAUAGCUGUCAAUUUAGUCCUCUAUUUAUAAUAAUAAGCAGCUAACUGAAAAAAAAUAUAUAAACAUUCAAAUGAUAUAUUUAUAAUUAUAAGCACCUACUUGUCAUCCUGAAAUAGUAUCGUAAUCUUUUUUGUUUCUUUAUCGUCCUUGCAGCUUUCUUCCAUUCUACUAAUUCCAGAAAGCUUCCCAAUGACAUCUGAUAAAUUAGAAAAAUAAAAUGUAAGAAUCAAUAUAGUAGGUACACAUAUUAAAAUUUAAAUUUUAAAAAUUAAAUAUUUGAUGCAUAUAACAACUCUUACCUACUAAAUAUUUGUCAUCGGCGACAUUAGCGAGUAUUUCAUCAAAAGAAGUAAAUAUAAAUCCAUACUUUGAUAUUGUCAAAACAUCUUCCAUCUCACGUACAACCGUAGAAUAUUGAAAAUUGAUUUUGUAAGGAUGUAUAGUGGUACUGUAAGAACCGCUGCUCUGCCCCACUCCAAACUGGUUGAUCACAUAAAUUUUUCCUUCCGUAAAAAGGCCUUUAAAUUUGUUCAGGAAAACUUUUCUUACCGUUACAUAUAUCUUAUCUCCCUAUAAUAGAAAAUAAACAAAUUAUGUAGUAUCUUUUAGUAAAAAUAAAGCAAACGUAUGUUCAAUUUGAAAAUGAAAGUCGUAUCUUACAUUUUGAUCAGAAAGAACUAACUCUAGGCUAUUUACUACCUCUUGACGAUGAAAUUCAAGCAUAGUAUACAGACAAAUCACUCUGACUUUGAUCUUCCAUUUGUCUCCAAGAGGAGUGAUGUCUCGUAUAGAAUUAUACCCAAGUGUCAUAUCCUGAGAACAAUGAGACAACCAAGAAAAAAAAAAAAAAAUACUUGCUUCGUAUUUAAAUAAUAAAAUGAAAAUGAUAUGUUCUAUCUUAAAGCAUCAACACUUAAGAACUAAGAAAAUUACAGGAGUGAUAGUAGGGAAAAAAAAUUACGAAAUAAAAAUUACAGAAGGAGUGAUAGUAGGGAAGUGACAUGCAAUAUCUAUAUCUAUACUACUUAUAAAAGCGUGAAUUUUGAAUUUUUUCCUCUUUCCAAAAAUGCCUCUAUCAUUUUUACUAAUAUUUUUAUGUCCAGUAAUUUUCAACCAAUCAUUUCAAAUAAUUAACUAAGUAAUAAUUUAUUCCCAAAUAAAGAUAAAUAUUUUCAUUCUUACGCGUAAUAUCUGCACCCGCCAAUUCUUUCGCAACGUAAUAUCUAUGAAUUUCUCAAAUAUCUCAACAUAAUUAUAGGUGACUUUGAAAUAAAAUCUCCUUCAUUAUAGGUGAUUUUUAAUAAUAUAAUAAAAGAUAUUAAUUUUUUACCAUUAGAUCUUAUCUAAUAAUUGAAAAUAAAAGUAUUUGUUAUUUUUUGUGACAAUAUUACCCUCGUAUUUAUAUCAUAUUUUCUAUAUACGCGUUUCUCAAAUAUUUUCUUUCUUACGCGUAAUAUCCGCACCCGCCAAUUCUUUCGCAACGUAAUAUUCGUGAAUUUCUCAAAUAUCUCAUUAAUCCACCUACCAUUUGAAUUUAAUAAUAUAAUAAAUAGAAUAAAUAUGACAAGCAUAUAGAAAGCCACGUUAGGACUCUUUUUACUAAUAUUUUUAUGUCCAACCAAUCAUUUCAAAUAAUUAACUAAGUAAUAAUUUAUUCUCAAAUAGAGAUAAAUAUUUUCCUUCUCACGCCGAAUAUCCGCACCCGCCAAUUAUUUCGCAACGUAAUAUUCGUGAAUUUUUCAAAUAUCUCAACAUAAUUAUAGGUGACUUUAAAAUAAAAUCCCCUUCAUUAAAGGUGAUUUUUAAUAAUAUGGUAAAAGAUAUUAUUUCCUUAAAAAAUAUAAUUUUAUUUUUCCUAAAAUAGAAAAUCUAUAUUUGAGCUUGUAAUAAUUUAUUCCCAAAUAAAGAUAAAUAUUUUUUUUUCACGCGUAAUAUCCGCACCCGCCAAUUCUUUCGCAACAUAAUAUCCAUGAAUUUCUCAAAUAUCUCAAUAUAAUUAUAAGUGACUUUGAAAUAAAAAUAAAGAUAAAUAUUUUCUUUCUCACGCGUAAUAUCCGCAAAAUCUAAUUUUAUUUUUCCUAAAGUAGAAAAUCUAUAUUUAAGCUUGACACGUGGCAAGCAUAUAAAAAGCCACGUGUCAGCUUCUCAUAUAGAGUUCAUAUAUAGCGGGUUCUAUUUUAGUAUAGAGUAAUAAAUAUGAUGACUAUUGGUUCAAAUUCGAA